rnacentral:rRNA from 1 species
UACGGAGGAUCCAAGCGUUAUCCGGAAUCAUUGGGUUUAAAGGGUCCGUAGGCGGUUUAAUAAGUCAGUGGUGAAAGCCCAUCGCUCAACGGUGGAACGGCCAUUGAUACUGUUAAACUUGAAUUAUUAGGAAGUAACUAGAAUAUGUAGUGUAGCGGUGAAAUGCUUAGAGAUUACAUGGAAUACCAAUUGCGAAAGCAGGUUACUACUAAUGGAUUGACGCUGAUGGACGAAAGCGUGGGUAGCGAACAGG